GCUCUUUCCCUUUCUCUCUCUAAAACCCUUGUCCUAAAGGUUUUCUUUUACUUCUCUCUAGAUUCCCAGCUCCUUGAACCUUAGGAUUUCGAUUUUGGUGUUACCCAAGCGUCCGCGGAGUAGAGGGCUUCAUUUCUACCGAACGUCCUCUUCAUUCCAAUCGGUAAGUCAUUUAUCUCCUUCUCCUUCACUAUCCUUGAACCUAGGGCUUGCAACGUUACUGUUUGCAUGUUACUAGUGGAUUUCGUUUUCGUACGUUCCGCCUAAUCAAACUCUAAAAGCUGCUACGGUCACCACUUUGGUGAUUUGAGGUUGAGUUCUUAUGCUGUCAAGGGUACUGCUAGGACAGUUUCAGUAGUUGUGCUUGGAGAAACCCAGAUGGCGAGGAGGUUCUUUUGGAGACGACCUUGGAAGUUGAGGACAAUGCUGCUACCUAGUCUCCUUAGGAUGUUAUCGAUUAUUGUCUGUAUUUUGAAAUAUUAUUUCCCUUUAAGUUUACAGUUUAAAUCUUUUUGGAGUUGAAGUUUAAUUUCUGAAGUUACUUUGAGGAUGACUGUAAUCCUUAAUUACUCUUGACUGCUUUCCUAUAUUAUGCAUGAUGA